GACGUAGGAUGCAAGCGUUGUCCGGGUUUAUUGGGCGUAAAGAGUUCGUAGGCGGUUUGUUAAGUCUGAUGUUAAAGACUGGGGCCCAACCUCGGACGUGCAUUGGAUACUGGCAGACUGGAGUGCAGUAGAGGCAAGUGGAAUUCCCAGUGUAGCGGUGAAAUGCGUAGAUAUUGGGAAGAACACCGGUGGCGCAGGCGACUUGCUGGGCUGUAACUGACGCUGAGGAACGAAAGCUAGUGGAGCAAAUGGG
rnacentral:rRNA from 1 species